rnacentral:rRNA from 1 species
AAGACCUUGCGCUUUUGGAGCGGCCGAUGCCUGAUUAGCUUGUUGGUAAGGUAAAAGCUUACCAAGGCUUCGAUCAGUAGCUGGUCUGAGAGGACGGCCAGCCACACUGGGACUGAGACACGGCCCAGACUCCCACGGGAGGCAGCAGUGGGGAAUUUUGGACAAUGGGGGCAACCCUGAUCCAGCCAUGCCGCGUGAGUGAAGAAGGCCUUCGGGUUGUAAAGCUCUUUCAGCCGGAACGAAACGGUUACGGUUAAUACCCGUGACUAAUGACGGUACCGGAAGAAGAAGCACCGGCUAACUACGUGCCAGCAGCCGCGGUAAUACGUAGGGUGCGAGCGUUAAUCGGAAUUACUGGGCGUAAAGCGUGCGCAGGUGGUUUUGUAAGUCAGAUGUGAAAGCCCCGGGCUCAACCUGGGAACU